CCUACACGUUCGACAUGGUGUUCGGUCCGUCUGCGAAGCAGAUCGAAGUGUACCGGAGCGUCGUCUGUCCCAUCCUGGACGAGGUCAUCAUGGGGUACAACUGCACCGUGUUUGCCUACGGUCAGACAGGAACGGGAAAGACGUUCACCAUGGAGGGAGAGAGGAGCCCGGACGAGCAGUUCACCUGGGAGGAGGUGAGCUCUGCUUUAAAAUGGGCUCACUGGUUUACUGUUUGACCCUAAGCCUGCAUGUGGAUCUAAUUCAGAGUGUGAAUGAACUGAUCCUGCAGCAGCGUGCAUGAAGUAUAGGAAGGGGAAACGUCUUGACUGUCUAACAUUAAUGAACUUUUUCAGGUUUUAAAAUUCAGUUUUGUGAUCACAGUCCGACUGCAUCCAUCCUGAAUGUGCAUGAAUUGGCUUUAAAUAAUUCCCCGUGUCCGUUUUUAUGCACGUGGAUGUUGGACGUCUUGUUUUCAGAUCAUCAGUAGCUGCUCAGACCUGCUGCUCAUUUCAGUCUCGGGCUGUACUAGAGCAGCUUUGCUUGAUUCAUAGUUAAUAAUAAUCCUCCUUUGUCCUGUGCUGGGUCUCUGUACAGGCCUUC